GACGAACGCUGGCGGCGUGCUUAACACAUGCAAGUCGAACGGAAAGGCCCUGCUUUUGUGGGGUGCUCGAUUGGCGAACGGGUGAGUAACACGUGAGUAACCUGCCCUUGACUUUGGGAUAACUUCAGGAAACUGGGGCUAAUACCGGAUAUGAGCUCCUGCUGCAUGGGGGGGGUUGGAAAGUUUCGGCGGUUGGGGAUGGACUCGCGGCUUAUCAGCUUGUUGGUGGGGUAGUGGCUUACCAAGCCUUUGACGGGUAGCCGGCCUGAGAGGGUGACCGGCCACAAUGGGACUGAGAUACGGCCCAGACUCCUACGGGAGGCAGCAGUGGGGAAUAUUGCACAAUGGGCGGAAGCCUGAUGCAGCAACGCCGCGUGCGGGAUGACGGCCUUCGGGUUGUAAACCGCUUUCGCAUGUGACGAAGCGUGAGUGACGGUAAUGGGUAAAGAAGCACCGGCUAACUACGUG
rnacentral:rRNA from 1 species